AGAGCCUGAUCAUGGCUCAGAUUGAACGCUGGCGGCAGGCCUAACACAUGCAAGUCGAGCGCGAAAGGCUUUCGGGCUGAGUAGAGCGGCGGACGGGUGAGUAACGCGUAGGAAUCUACCUGGUAGUGGGGGACAACUUGGGGAAACUCAAGCUAAUACCGCAUACGCCCUAAGGGGGAAAGCGGGGGACCUUCGGGCCUCGCGCUAUCAGAUGAGCCUGCGUAGGAUUAGCUUGUUGGUGAGGUAAAGGCUCACCAAGGCGACGAACCUUAGCUGGUCUGAGAGGAUGAUCAGCCACACUGGGACUGAGACACGGCCCAGACUCCUAUGGGAGGCAGCAGUGGGGAAUAUUGCGCAAUGGGGGCAACCCUGACGCAGCCAUGCCGCGUGUGUGAAGAAGGCCUUCGGGUUGUAAAGCACUUUAAGUGGGGAGAGAAGGGUAGCUGUUAAUAGCGGUUACCUGUGAUGUUACCCACAGAAUAAGCACCGGCUAACUCCGUGCCAGCAGCCGCGGUAAUACGGAGGGUGCGAGCGUUAAUCGGAAUUACUGGGCGUAAAGCGCGCGUAGGUGGUUUGUUAAGUCAGCUGUGAAAGCCCCGGGCUCAACCUGGGAACUGCAGUUGAUACUGGCCGACUAGAGUACGAGAGAGGGAGGUAGAAUUCCAUGUGUAGCGGUGAAAUGCGUAGAUAUAUGGAGGAAUACCAGUGGCGAAGGCGGCCUCCUGGCUCGAUACUGACGCUGAGGUGCGAAAGCGUGGGGAUCAAACAGGAUUAGAUACCCUGGUAGUCCACGCCGUAAACGAUGUCUACUAGCCGUUGGGAGACUUGAUUUCUUAGUGGCGCAGCUAACGCAAUAAGUAGACCGCCUGGGGAGUACGGCCGCAAGGUUAAAACUCAAAUGAAUUGACGGGGGCCCGCACAAGCGGUGGAGCAUGUGGUUUAAUUCGAUGCAACGCGAAGAACCUUACCCGGGCUUGAACUGCAAGUGAUCGACGGUGAAAGCCGUUUCCCGCAAGGGCACUUGUAGAGGUGCUGCAUGGCUGUCGUCAGCUCGUGUCGUGAGAUGCUGGGUUAAGUCCCGCAACGAGCGCAACCCUUGUCUGCUGUUGCCAUCAGGUUAAGCUGGGCACUCUGCGGAGACUGCCGGUGACAAACCGGAGGAAGGUGGGGAUGACGUCAAGUCCGCAUGGCCUUUAUGUCCGGGGCUACACACGUGCUACAAUGGGCGGCACAAACCGUUGCGAUCUCGCAAGAGGGAGCUAAUCGGACAAAGCCGUUCUCAGUUCGGAUUGUAGGCUGCAACUCGCCUGCAUGAAGUUGGAAUCGCUAGUAAUCGCGGAUCAGCACGCCGCGGUGAAUACGUUCCCGGGCCUUGUACACACCGCCCGUCACAUCACGAAAGCUGGCUGUACUAGAAGUCGUCGCGCCAACCCGCAAGGGAGGCAAGCGCCUAAGGUAUGGUUAGUGAUUGGGGUGAAGUCGUAACAAGGUA
rnacentral:rRNA from 1 species